ACAAGGUAAGAUAUGGCAGCUAGUUAGCUCAUUCAGGUGUUAUAACGGCUAACGUGUUAGCAAACAGUUCAUUCCAGCAGAUAAAGACCAUCAUUAGCACUCAUUUGGAGUCUUUUUUCUGUCUACCUGACAAAGGAAACUCGGCAGCUACGGUUUAGCUUGACAAAUAACAGCUGCAGAGGGUCACUUUAAAGAACUGGCCUUCAGGGGCUUUCCUGCUUUUAGGAGUCAAUGUAAUGCAGCAGCUCUGACAGAGCGAAGCAACACCCCACUGGCCUUGAAGAAAGCAACCAGGAAAGGCUGUUUGGACUGGGGCCCGUUCCUCCCAAUGAUUCCAGCAGAUUUUGUGUUGAUACUUCGGCCUUUAAAAAACAGGAGUUUCCAGACAGAGCUGCAAGCCCAAGUUCUGCUGUGGGUUCAUCACCCAGUGAUUACUGGUGGCUGUGAUGUCAAACACUAGCCAGCCCCCAUCGGAUGCCUGGACCUUUUUGGAGUCGAGCAAGAACGUCUCUGCAUCUCUGAAGACAGGCAGGUGGUGGGCAUAACAGUGACCACGGGAGCACCCGAGGGAGCCCCUUCCCCCCCCCCCCUAUUGUGGGCCCUCAUGGUUUCAUCUGGGACACAGCCAGCUUGGCAGGCAACACAAGACGAGUGAUAACUGAUGGACCUUCCAAGCUUCAUAAGUGGCCAACUUGCUAAUGGAGUUCUCUUUAUCCGAGAACUAUAUUUGUAAGGCAGACAUGGUGCGAAUGAAAGAGAGCAGAGUUGGAGAUAGAAGGGUGUUCUAUAUGAGUGGAAAGUUUUAACCGUGCAAGACAAUGGCUGUUUAACUAUUUCCCUUUUAAAUUGUGAAUCAAGAUAACUGGGUAAAAAGUGAGGUAAAACUACUCCUCAGGGCCCUGUCAGAAGAUUAAUGGACCAAAAUCUCUGAUUAAAAAGUAGCAUUUUUAAUGUUUUAGCUGGUGGACAUAGAGCUAAUUUUUUAUAUCUUUAUAUAAUGUUGGUAGAUUAAUCAAUAAUAACUAAUCCUUUUUUGGAUGCUGGUCGUUUUGUAUGUAAAAUGUACUGUGGGAACACAUAAAUGUUAAAUAAACUGUGGUAAAAAAUACAAUAUGACGAUGAAUAAUUGUUCGGGGUAUAAGUGUAAAUCCUAUAAAUAGUUAAGUAAAGUGCAAGUUACUCAAAAUUGUCCAGUACUGAAGUAAAUGUACUUCCAGCACAGCCUCAAAUGUUUGUGUUUUGUUGAUUAGGUACUUACUUGUUUU